AGAACCACAGUGUCUGGAAAAAAAAAAUCAGUCUCAGAAGGACCUUUCCUCCCCACUUGGCUGGCAUUGUGACACUUUUGACAGAGGAGAGAAACUUCAGUGAGAUUUUGCAGGAUAACAGGACUGACAGCUGAACCUGAGACAAGAGAGGUUCCACGAAGACAUUAGCUCAAGGUACACAACACAAAAUCGCUUUCCAUUAAUUGCAGUUGAGGCUUGAGGCACACACUUCAAAGUCUUGGCAACCUAAGGCAGUUUGCGGCUUUGUUCUGAUUCAAGGAUGCUGCCUGAGAACAAAGCAACUCCUUAGACCUCCGGGCGCAGGCGACUUUCCCAAGACUGGCAACUGGCAGGGUUACCAGGACUGGUGUGGUCUUGUCAGUGAGGAGUUUUCUCAGUACCCUGUGUACUGUAUUGAAAUUGAUAGAAGGAGAGAGGAGACAGACAGACAUACAGACAGACAGACACACACACACACACACACACACACACACACACACACAGGGAAAGAGAGAAAGAGACAGAGUUUGAACCUCUGGAUUUCUAGGAAACUUCCCAGAUUUUCUCUCAUCUCUCGGUGUUUUCCUAUCAAAAGCCGCAUUCCAUUACAGCUCUCUGAUUCUAGAAUUCUAAAAUGCUUCACUGGCUUGGUGGGCAGAUUGCGUUUAAAUUCUUUGCCAUCUUCUGGGUUCUGUUACUUAGUAACAGCUUCCAGUCAAGGAGAUGCCAUGUUCUGUUGGGCCCCCAAGAGGUUCAAAGAAAGGAAAUGUUCAGUCAUUCGCAGUUUCCCAGGAGGCAUAGCAGAGGAAUAAAAUCAGACACAGAUCCAGGGACGGAGCAGGUGGUGAAGAACAGAAAAUGAUGCUGUGAAUCCUUAGGCCUGAGGACUUCUGGGACCCUCAGAUAAGCAAAACUUGGAGAUGAUCUGACAACCACAAUACUAACUGGGAACAGGGAUUCCAUUUGAAACAGUCAACACCUUGCCUGCCUCUGUACUGACCAGUUAGAAGGGCAACAGCUGUGAAUUUGCUGCCAAAAGUCAGCUGGGCCCGUGAGGGAAUUUUCUAAUAAAAACUCAUUCUCCAGC